AUUACAAUUGUUUGGUUGUAUUCGUGUUAUCUGUGUCUUGCUGAAGGUAGCGGAAAAUACACGACUACAAUAUUAGCAUUUCCUUCUAAUGAAUUCUUAAGAGUUGGCAUUAAUGUGUCUGUUAUAUACCACAGUAGCUCAUGUUAUGCAAUAAAAAUAACAUCGUUCUUAUGUUUGUGACCUCAGAUAUGGGUGGUAGAGAAGGAAGUGGUCACUCGAGUUUCCCUCAUGUUGCACUCAAUGAGCGUAUCCUUUCAUCAAUGUCGAGAAAGUAUAUUGCUGCGCUCAACCAUGGCAUGAUUUAGAAAUAGGACCUGGAGCAACUGCAGUUUUCAACUGCAGGUACUUCGUGAUCUCAAGAUCUCCACUUCAAGGAGGCCUUCGAGCCAUGCGAGAAUCUGAGGUAGUUUAUACAAUCUUAGCAAACUUAGCAAACCAUGAGAAUGAAAGCCCAUGGAGAUAUCUUCGAGGCUUGUACCAAGGCAAGACUGAACUUUUAGGAAUUGAUAAUCAAAUCCAAGAAGUUUGUCUCAAGAUCUUGAAGACAAAUCAGAACUCCGUAUUUGCUAUCAGCCUUCUCUUGGAUCUCCUUUGCAAUGGCUUUCAGCCUUCUGGUAAAUUGAGGGGUGUUAUUGCAAUUUCAAGAAAUCUUUAAGCCGGAUCUGCAAAUUCUAAUUUAGCGACGAGCAUUUGCUCUAUUUUAGAGGCUGUUGCUCCUAUGAGAUUCAACUAUUGAGA